rnacentral:rRNA from 1 species
AGAGUUUGAUCCUGGCUCAGGAUGAACGCUGGCGGUCUGCUUAACACAUGCAAGUCGAACGGACGUUUUCGGACGUUAGUGGCGGACGGGUGAGUAACGCGUGAGAAUCUGCCUUCAGGUUGGGGACAACAGUUGGAAACGACUGCUAAUACCCAAUGUGCCGAGAGGUGAAAGCUUUAGUGCCUGAGGAUGAGCUCGCGUCUGAUUAGCUAGUUGGAGUGGUAAUGGCACACCAAGGCGACGAUCAGUAGCUGGUCUGAGAGGAUGAUCAGCCACACUGGGACUGAGACACGGCCCAGACUCCUACGGGAGGCAGCAGUGGGGAAUUUUCCGCAAUGGGCGCAAGCCUGACGGAGCAAGACCGCGUGAGGGAGGAAGGCUCUUGGGUUGUAAACCUCUUUUAUCAGGGAAGAAGAUCUGACGGUACCUGAUGAAUCAGCAUCGGCUAACUCCGUGCCAGCAGCCGCGGUAAUACGGAGGAUGCAAGCGUUAUCCGGAUUUAUUGGGCGUAAAGCGUCCGCAGGUGGUUUUUCAAGUCUGCUGUUAAAGCGCGAGGCUUAACCUCGUAACGGCGGUGGAAACUGAGAGACUAGAGUAUGGUAGGGGUAGCGGGAAUUCCCAGUGUAGCGGUGAAAUGCGUAGAUAUUGGGAAGAACACCAGCGGCGAAAGCGCGCUACUGGGCCAUAACUGACACUCAUGGACGAAAGCUAGGGGAGCGAAAGGGAUUAGAUACCCCUGUAGUCCUAGCUGUAAACGAUGGAUACUAGGUGUUGCCCGUAUCGACCCGGGCAGUGCCGUAGCUAACGCGUUAAGUA